CUGUCUUUUCAGUUCUAUCAAUUACACUUCAACACUUGCAGCUCUGCUGUUGGGGAUGCGUGUUGAGUCUUGCUGUGUCUUCUUGGUGGAUUGACAUUUGGUCAUUCUAGAAUGUCCUUGUUGGUGUGUUAGGGCUAACGUGUACUUUCUGAUUUAUUGCCUGCUCUUUGUUUCUCCAUGUUUUUCUCUCUCUCUUUCCUUUCCCUGCUUUUGUCUGGGUUACUUGAACAUUGUAAAAAUUUAUCUAUAGCAUAUUUUGGGGCAGCUUUUGAAGUGAUCUCUUUUAAUUUGAACACACGCACAAGCUCAAUGCAGUCUCUUGUAUCUUGCGUUUUACUGGCUAAAGUGAAAUGUACCAUUUACGCUCCCUGUUGAAAAUAGGUAAUUGUCUUUGGUAUUUACAUGUUUUCAGCUACGUUUGCCAGCACCUUACAAUUUUUCUUCAACCUUCAAACAAAUCUCAGAAGACUUGAGAGAGAAAAGUGUAUUGCAUUUAUCACAUUUUCCUUAGUGUAGUCUUUCCUGGUUUGUGACAUUCCCCGGCACCCGCGGGCUCACUCCCUGCCUGUUUGGAGAACUUCCUUUAGCCUUUGUGCAGGGCAGGGCUUCUGGCAACGAAUUCUCUUACAGCUUAGUCAAGCAGCAGUGCUUUGUCUUCCCACUGUCCUUGGAUGGUACGUUCAUCGGCUCCAUGAGAUGAGGCGGAAAGCUGUGAUGACUGAGCUAAACAUAGUGUGCAGUAAGACAUACUGCCCCCUCUCCCCGGAAUGCUCGCCCUGACUUUGAACACCCUCACCCCGUCAUCCUGCCGCUCUCCGAAGCAGCUCUGGAGUCCUCUUUCCUAGGUAGGUGUCUUUGUGGUCUUGGGGCUGUCUCCAUAUUUUGCAUUGAGUGAAGACAUUUACCUUUCAUGGUCGUUUCGGACUUUCGCAGAAAGCGAGAAGGUGCCAUGUUAGAUCCGUGAAUAGGUGGGUCGAGCGGACCGAGGGAUUUUUGUGAGUGUCCUUUCCAUUGCCUGGCAUGCGACAGCAGCCUUCACCGUGGUAAGACAGGAAUGAGGACGUCCAGACCUGCUUCAGAAAGUGUCGAGGACACUGGGCAGGGUGUUGAGGUGAGGAGGAGCAUUUCGGCAGUGUGUCUUGUAUUGAAGUAAAUUUGAAAAUCGAAGCAUUCAUGGUGCACACUCAUCACACCUAAUAGGAUUUGGAUGGCAGGCUUUUUCCUGAAGGUACUUUCUCAGGGCCAUGUCAUGCCAUGUCCUUGUGGUCUUCUGGGCUCUGAUGAGGGAUGUGCCACCUCUGGAAUCAUUUCUUCCUUUUACGUAGGCAGCUCUUCUCUCCGCGCUCCUGACUUUGUUUUUAGUGGCAGACUUUUGGCUGUAAUGUGUCUUGGAUGCAUUUCUCUGGUUUUCCUAUCACUCAGGUUUUUACGUUUUAACAAAUUUGGGAAGUUUUCCACCAUCAUUUUUUCCAGUACUUUCUCAGCCUCGUCCUCUUCCCCCUCGCCUUCACGGUCUCUGAUGUCAUUAAAGUUUGAUUGGUUUUUAUGAGUCUGAUGGUUCAUGUAGAAAAAAUUCAGUCUGAUUUUGUUGCUCUGUGCUGAGUAAUUUCUAGUAUUGUGUCUUCCAUUUCACUGACUUUUUCCUCGGUUCCCUUCAUCCUCAGAGAUGUAUUUUCAGUUGUAUUUUUCAGUCCUAAAAUUUUCAUUUGGUUCUCCUUUAUGUCUUUUUCUUCUUGGGAUUUUCUCCUUUUUCAUGUGUUCCCACUUGCAGUUGCAUCCCCGCAUCUUUAUGGGGCUGCUUAGGAAGCGCUGUCAGUGAGCUCCUAACACAGUUAAAUCCUUCCUCUCGAUGUGCAAAUCCAUUUUCUGUUUCUUUCUCUGAUCCUUUUCAAUUUUGUUUUUGUUAGUUCGUGUUGCAUGCAUAGCGAUUGUGCUCAUCGUGGGGAGUUGGUGCGUGUGCGAACACCUCUCAGUUCUCUCCAUGCCCCUCUGCCUCUUCCCCCAGCGCUCCACCUCUUUGUCCUUUUUCAUUUGCAUAGAAUCUGAGUUCCUGUUUCCUAUUCUUUCUUUCUUUCUGUCUGUCUGUCUCUCUCCCUCCCUCCCUUUAUCUCUGUCUCCAGCUCGAGUCCUUAGAUCUGGCUUGCGUAUUAUUAGUGAUUGUCCUUUGAGAUCUGGUUAUUUGGGUGUUAUGUUUUGGGGUUCUGAUCUUACAUCUUCUGUCCCUUGGGCUCUUCGGGUCCUGUUCCAGGGAGCAGGUUGCCAUCUCCUCACUGCCUACUAAGGAAUGGGAGCCCAGGCCGUCCUGUGUUUGGGGUUCCUUGCUGCUACUGGGGUUCAGUGGGAGUUCUGGCUCUACACCCUUGUCCCUUCGUGGUUGUGAGGGGGUACAGCUGCAUCAAGACAGCUUCCAGUGCAGCUGCAUGGAUUCCACACUGGUGCUGUAUGCACAUGUGUGUGUGCAUGUGUCUAUGGUUACUGUGUCCAGGCGGUGACGAAAGUUCUGACUGCACACAAGGCCUUUUCUGACCCUGCCCACUGGGGAACAAGGACCUGCUGUGUGUGUGGGGAGUCUGGGUUCUCCCAAGCCCAUGGUUCCUGCCCCCUGCUGGGCUAGUGGAGAGCAGCCGCGGUCUUUUGUCCUGGGAGACUGCUGUUUCCUGGACCCAGGCUUUGGUUUCCUCUCUGCACUUAGUGUUUUUCUGGGUUGCUGAGUCUUCGGGUGCUGGACAUCUGAGGCAGAAAGGCAAGCCAGGGACCCUGUGACCAUGCAUCCUUCAAGUUCAAGUACAUGUUUGCGACGUAUCCUAAUUACAUUCAUCGCAGAGAACAGCCACUCGUCCAUGUCACAGCUCAGUCACCAGGGGACACAGUGAGAGGGACAGGGAAAAUGCGUCUAUUCCAUUUCCCCGGCAAAGACAUCUUCUUUGUGACCCGUCCUCCUGGUGCCCCAACACUGACCCUGGAGAAGGCGUCCCUGUCCCAGAGCUGGGUCCCCUCUCUCGGGCUGGGGGGACCUGUCUGCUGUCCCUGAGGCAGAGAGAUGCAGAAGAGUUGACUGUCUUUUGCUCGCUUUUCCAACCUGUUUAAUGAUGAGAUUCGUUCGCAGGCUGAACAGGCCGAUGUGGAUUCUAAGAGGUGCUUCGGGACUCGCGGGUGGAGGAUGUUCAUCCCAUUCUGAACCAACGGCUGCCAACUCCCUGUCUCUUUCUCCCUCCCUUUUUAUUUGCCUUUUAUCCCAUUGUUGUCUUUUAAUUAAACAGUUCUUUCACUA